ensembl:snRNA U6 U6 spliceosomal RNA
GUGCUCGCUUCGGCAGCACAUAUACUAAAAUUGGAACGAUACAGAGAAGAUUAGCAUGGCCCCUGAGCAAGGAUGAUACGCAAAUUCGUGAAGUUGGACACUUAACC